AACAGGCAUCUCCCAAGCUCACUUGGGCGGAGACAGUCAAGAGCGAACAUGCUGAACGGCUUCUCCACUUCAAGAGACCGCAGCCUCAGGACCCCAGGUAGAGAAAGUAUCUGUGAAAGAUUAAGAAGAUGGCUGACUACAUCCAGAUGCCGCAGGACUGCCAAAGUCAUCCCAGGGACAGUCUCCCCGGGAGUAACCACCAAUGACCUACCAAAAUCAAGUUACAGAUGUACUAACCAGUAUGUCCAACCAACAUACAAUUAAUAGAAAGUCUGACACCCAGGAGACUGACCUAAUUCAGUGACUGGCUGUAGCUAUCCUGUUUUUAUCAAGAUGAAGAUGGACUAUGGAAGUCAUCAUCAUCCUCAAGAAACAAAGUGUUUGCCAAGGAUAAUUAAAUACAUUAUGCGUAAAAAUGUCAUCUUGCAUAUACUGCUAUUUAACAAUGAGUAAGGUCUGAGCAUUUUCAGUGAAUUCUAAUUUAACAAUUUCUAAAUGAUUUGUUGAGUACAUGGAAAACUGCAAUU
rnacentral:lncRNA from 1 species